UGGUCUCUGGAAUAUUAAUUUUUCCUGCCCGUUUUUUGAAAUUCACAGUUUUGUCCUGUGCUUGGUUUCUGGAAUAUUUUUUCCCCUGCCUGGUCUUUGAAGUUUACAAGUUUAUCCUAUGCUUAAUUUCUGGAAAGAUUUUUUCAUGCUUGGGUUCUGGAAUCUGGAAUUUUUUUCCUGUGCUUAUUUUCUGGAAUUUUUCCUGAGUGGCUUCUGGAAUCUGCACAUUCUCCCUCCCUACCCCCACCCCCAAUUAGUUUUUGGAGUCUUUUUCUGUGCUUAGUUUCUGGAAUACUACUCACCUCCCCUCCUCAUUUCAUUUUUGGAAUAUUAAAUUUUUCUGGCUUAUUUCUGGAAUUUUUUCAUUUGUUUUCCCCCUGGAACCUAAAAUGAAAUUGUCUUCCCACCCCAACUUGGUUUAUGGAAUGUGGAUUUUUUUCCCACUUGGUGGCCAUAUGUACAGAUUCUUAAUUUUGUGUUGGUAAGUAUCGAUUGGUAAGUAUAAUACAAAUUUGUAUUCUUUUUGUGGCUUUGGUAAGUGCCGCUUUUUCUCUAGGUAUUGACCACAACAAUUUUAUGUGCCUUCUGGGACAUUCAAGCCUUCUAGCUAUUUUGUGGAAUACAAAUUAUUUGGCUGCUGGGAGACUGAACCCGUCCUCCUUGGUUUUAUGGAAGACAAGUUGUUGUUUUUUUUUUUCAAAAAUUUGUGGAAUGAAAACUUGUUUAUCAGCUCAGACAUCCAAUCAUUCCCUCGUUUUCUGUGGAAUACAAACUUUCUUAAAAAUUUGACAGCUGGGAGCUCUAAUCCUCCUACCUUGGUUUCUUGAAUAAAUGGUUUUGUUUUAUUGGUGACUGGGAGAGCCAAACAUCCCCCUUGAUCAGUGGAAUACAAAUUUUAAAAAAUUGGCGGCUGGAAGAGCCAAUCGCCUUCCUUAUCUGUGGAAUACAAAUUUUUAAAAUUUUCCUGAUGUUAGAUACAAUCAUCCCCCUUGAUCUGUGAAAUAAAUGUUUCCAAAUUGGCAUUUAGGAGAUCCAAUCAUCCCUUUGAUUUGUGGAAUACAAGGUUAUAUAUUUGGCAUCUGGGCAAUAUAACUGUCCCUCUCGGUUUUGGAAUACAAUUUUUAAAAAAUUGGCUAAGAUUUAAUCAUCUACCUUUGUGGAAUACAAUUUUUCUUUUUUGAUUUGGCACCUGGAGAUCAAAUACAAGUGUUAGUUUUGUUUUGUUUUAAUUUGUCAGCUAAGAGAUGGAUCCAGUCAUCUUUAAUUUGUGGAAUACAAAUUUUUUAAAUUUGGCAGCUGGGAGAUCUAAUUAUCUCUUGCUUUCUGGAAUAAGAUUUCUCCCCCAACUUGUCAGCUGGGAGAUCUCUUAGUUUGUAGAAUACAAGUUUGGGGUUUUUGUUUUGUUUUGUUAUGUUUUUUACUUGGUAGUUAGGCAAUCCAAUCAUACUCCUUGAUUUGUGGAAUACAAAAUUUUAAAAUUUGGCAGCUGGGACACAGAUCAUCCCGCUUCAUUUGUGGAAUAGAAGUGUUGGGUUAAAAAUAAAAUUGGCCCUUAGGAGAUCCAAUUGUCUUUCUUGAUUUGUGGAAUACAAUAACUUUAAAAUUUGGCUACUGGGAGAGGUAAUCAAUGUCAGUGGUUUGUGGAACAGAAGUUUGGUUUUUUAAUUUGGCAAGAAAUGUUUUUCUUUGAUUUUAGUGGCUGGUCAUUCUAAGUAUAUCACUUGGUUUUUAGAAUAAAAGUUUGUAAAUUGGCAGCUGGGAGAUCUCCUUGGUUUAUGAAAUACAAGUUGGUUUUUUUGGGGCAACUCUUGGAUGCAGUUGACCCUUUUAGAUUACAAAAUAAUCUGUUAUUUGUUUUAAUUGGCUGUUGGGAGAACCAGUCAACUCCCUUGGUUUAUGCAAUACAAAUUUUUGCUGCUUAAUUGGUAUCUAGGAGAUCUAGUCGAAGCCCUUGGAUUAUGUAAUACUAGUUGCUUUAAUUGGCUAAUGGGAGAUCUAAUCAGUCUCCUUGGUUUAUGUAAUACAAGUUGUUUUCAUUGGCAGCUGGAGUCCCAUGAUUUGUGCUGUAUAGUUGUUGCUGAUUUAAUUGGCAGCUAGGAGAUCCAAGGAGGGGAUUACCUCUUGGAUUGUGUAAUGCAGUAGAAAUGGUUAUUUAACUGGGACCUGGGAGAUCUAGUCGAUUCCCUUGGUUUAGGCAAUAUAUACAAGCAGCUGGGACAUCCAGUGACCUACUUGUUUUAAGUAAUAUAGAUCUUUGUUGGUUUAAUUGGCAUUUGGGAGAUCCAAUUAUGCGCCUUGCUUCAUGGAAUAAAGGUAGUGUGUUUUUGGUUUGUCCUUAUUUUAGAAGCUGGUAGAUCCCCUUGGUUUAUGUGAUAGAAGUAGUCUUUAAACUACUGAUCUGGAUUUCCAGUUGUCCCCUUUGGUUUAUGGAAUACAAGUUUGUUUUUAUAAUUUGGCUGGAGGCUCCAAUUUUCUCUUUCUGAUUUGCUGUGAUAUUUAAUCACCCAUCUUGGUUUGUGGAAUAUGGUAACAAUUUGUGGAAUAUGUUAUUGGUUUGUGGAAUAUGUUAUUUUCUUUGGCAGCUGGGAGAUAUAAUCAUCUCAAUUAUUUUGUGGAAUACCAGUUCUUAUCCUUGUGGAAUACAAAAUUUCCUUGGGCAUCCUUCCUGGUUUAUGGAAUACAAGUUCAUCUUUGUGGAAUACAAUUUUUUUUUUGGGUUAUCUCCCUUUUUGUGGAAUACAAAUUUUUAUUUGGCAGUUGGAAGAUCUGUUGGCCCCAUUUGGUUUAUUUCCUGGCUGGAAGAAUGAACCAUCCUCCUUGGUUUGUGGAAUACAAGUUAUUUUUUUUAAGGGUUUGGUUUUUGUUUUGGUUUUUUUGGUGUUUUUCUUUUGUGGGUAGCUGCCUGGAAGAUCUCAUCAUCCUCCUUGGUUUGGAAUACAAAAUUUAUUGGUCAUCUUCAUCUGUGGAAUACAAGUUUUUUUGUUUGUUUUUUUUGUUGUUGUUGUUUUGGUGCUUGGAAGAAAUCAUCCUUGGUUUGGAAUACAAAAUUUAUUGGUCAUCUUCAUCUGUGGAAUACAAGUUGUUUUUUUUUUGUUUGUUUUUGUCUUUUUUUUUUUGUUUUGGUGCUUGGAAGAAAUCAUCCUUGGUUUGGAAUACAAAAUAUAUCGUUCCUCUUCAUUUGUGGAAUACAAGUUUUUUUGGUGGUUUGAUGCUUCAAAGAUCUCAUCAUCCUUGAUUUGUGGAAUACAAAAUUUAUCAUUCUUCAUUUGUGGAAUACAAAGUCUUUCGGGGGGUUUAUUUGGUGCAUCCUUGGUUUGGAAUACAAAAUUUAUUGUUCUUUGUGGAAUACAAGGGACUUUUUUUUUUGUGCUUUGAAGAUCUCAUCAUCCUCCUUGGUUUGGAAUACAAAAUUUAUUGUUCUUUGUGGAAUACAAGGGACUUUUUUUUGUGCUUCUAAGAUCUCAUCAUCCUCCUUGGUUUGUGGAAUACAAAAUUUAUUUCUCAUUUGUAGAAUACAAGGUCUUUCGGGGGGUUUGUUUGGUGCUUGGAAGAUCUCAUCAUCGUCCUUGGCUUGUGGAAUACAAUUCAUUUGUGGAAUACAAGUUCUAUGGGUUGUUUGGGUGUUUUUUUUUUUUUUUUGGUCAUUUUUUUGGUGCUUGGAAGAUCUUAUCCUGGUUUGGAAUACAAUUUUUUUUGUAGAAUUUUUUUUUUGGCCUUUUGGUUUUGUUUCCUUUUUUGUGCUUGGAAGAUUUCAUCAUCCUUGGUUUGGAAUACAAAAUUUAUCGCUCCUCAUUUGUGGAAUAUAAGGUGUUUUUUUUUUUCAGGGUGCUUUUUGUUUUUUGGUGCUUGAAAGAUCUCAUCAUCCUCCCUGGUUUGGAAUACAAUUAUUCUUUGUGGAGUACGUGUUUUUUGGUUUUUAUUUUUUUGUGUGCGUGUGCUUGGAAGAUUUCAUCCUUGUUUUGGAAUACAGAAUUUAUUGUCCUUUGUGGAAUACAAGUCUUUUUGGUGCCUUGGGUUUUUUUGUUUUGGGGUUUUUGUUUUUUUUGUUUUUGUUUUUUGAUGCUUGAAGAUCUCAUUCUCCUCCUUGGUUGGAAUACAAAAUUUGCCAUUCUUCAUGGAAUACAAGUUUUUUGGGGUGUUUGUUUUUUGGUGCUUGGAAGAUCUCAUCAUUUUUCAUGGUCUGGAAUACAAAAAAACUAUCAUUCCUUUUUGGGUUUGUAUGGUGCUUGGAAGAUCCAAUCCUCUUUGAUUUGUGGAAUAUAAUUUUUUUUUGUGGUGCUUGGUAUUGGUAAGUAGAAUUGGGUUGGUAAGUGGCAACAUCCCACUUCAGGUAAGUGCCAAUUUUUUUUCUUGAUUAUUUGGGAUAUGUAAAUAUUCUAAAGGAUCCCUGGGCAGGGUAGAGAGAAGGAAGAUGACUAAAAAGUCAUCUACUUAGGAAGUUUCCACUUAGGAGAAGUUAUUUCAGAGUAAGAGGAAAAUUACACUUAAGGCAUGAAUCCCUAUCCUUUUUCAUAAAGGUGAAAGUAACAUUACUGGAUAUGGAAUCAGGUGGAAUUAAGAGGCCGGAAUCUUUACUCUGUCACCUAGACAGUGUCUGCAUGACAGGUUUCCACUUAGCGGAAAGUGUAUUGCAAAAUAGGAGAAAAAAUGUUAUACUUAGAACACAACCUCCCCACUCACUUUUAUAAAGCUGAUAGUAAUGUUACAGGAUUUGGAAUCAGGUGGAAAUUAGAAGUCCUUGCUUUGACUAGUCUGUCACUUUCUCUCUGGGCCUCCCUUUACUCCUUUUUAACUUUCAGCAGUCUGCAGUAAAAGACACGUCUAAAUAUACAAAUAAUAUUUCAAAAGUACCUUCCCAGCCCUUAUGACUGUGCAUUAAUAUGUAUAAUUUGUUUUCCAGGUGUGGUACAAGCCCUGCAUUGAAAAGCCCAAGCAGCCCUCCAGGUUAUUGGUUGGAUCCUUUCAUUGUGGAUUUCUGGACCAGGAUCAUACAUGUUGAAGUCACAAUCCCGUCCUGUUGCUGAGGAGACCUACCACAGCUGCUCUGGGACCAGAGAAGAGGAAUACGGAGAAGAGGAACAUCCACCAAGAAGACCUUUUGUUAAUUUCUUCAAUAAUUAUAUGUCCUUUGUUAUAAGUACAAAUCCCCUCCAUAGACUGUAAGCUUUGAGAGGGCAGGCUAUUUAUUUAUCGCUGCUGGACCACCUUUUGUUAGUUUCCCCUCCUUCCCCAUUAGAUCGUGCUUGUGUGACCUCCCCUGUUGCUUCAACAACCUUCUGUACACUUGCUGCUUUCCUCACCUUUUCCCCCAGAUCAUGUAAUCAUGUAAUAAACGGUUUCUUUUUAAAAGAA